rnacentral:siRNA from 1 species
GAGCUCCGACGAGAUUUUGGGUGA